CACCACUAAAUGCUCAUGGGAAUGACUCAACAUUAGUAAUUGACAAUGAAGAAAAGCUGGUGACAAAUAAAAAACAAGAAAGAAAUAAGAGGCGGAGGAUCAGGAGAAGGCAAAAUGAAGAAGAAAGGAAGAAAAUGAGAGCUCAGUGUAUUAAAGACUUUAACUAAAGGUAAGUACUGUUGUACUUACGGGACAUCAUCUUAAGCCUGGUUCACACAAGCAACAAAAAACAAAUGCMAACCCAGACAACAUACGUAGAUUCAGUAGUGUUCUGCCCAUUGCCAGUACUUGUUUUUCUCUCACCUCAGUGAAAACUGCAGUACUGAGGCUGCGUAUGUUGCGUUUGUUGAGUCUGCGUAUGUUGCGUUUGCGUUGCUCAUAUGAUCCAGGCAUCUGUGAGGGGAAAUAGCCAUGGUAAUUCCAUGCCUACCACCCGGAAGGUGCUUUAAUUAGUUAUAGCAUCUGCGAGGGAAAAGCAUGCUAGGAGCUCUCAUGCUUUCCCGGAAGGUGCUUAGGAUAGUUACGCAUCUGUGAGGGCAAAUAGCCAUGGUAAUUCCAUGCCUACCACCCGGAAGGUGCUUAGUUAUGGCAUCUGCGAGGGAAGGGCAUAUAUGUCUGACCCGGAAGGUGCUUAGGAUUAAUUUUGAAAUGAAUUAAAAUCUGUUUUG